rnacentral:rRNA from 1 species
CAGUCGAGCGAGUCUGCCUUGAAGAUCGGAGUGCUUGCACUCUGUGAAACAAGAUACAGGCUAGCGGCGGACGGGUGAGUAACACGUGGGUAACCUGCCCAAGAGAUCGGGAUAACACCUGGAAACAGAUGCUAAUACCGGAUAACAACAGAUGAUGCCUAUCAACUGUUUAAAAGAUGGUUCUGCUAUCACUCUUGGAUGGACCUGCGGUGCAUUAGCUAGUUGGUAGGGUAACGGCCUACCAAGGCGAUGAUGCAUAGCCGAGUUGAGAGACUGAUCGGCCACAUUGGGACUGAGACACGGCCCAAACUCCUACGGGAGGCAGCAGUAGGGAAUCUUCCACAAUGGACGCAAGUCUGAUGGAGCAACGCCGCGUGAGUGAAGAAGGGUUUCGGCUCGUAAAGCUCUGUUGUUGGUGAAGAAGGACAGGGGUAGUAACUGACCUUUGUUUGACGGUAAUCAAUUAGAAAGUCACGGCUAACUACGUGCCAGCAGCCGCGGUAAUACGUAGGUGGCAAGCGUUGUCCGGAUUUAUUGGGCGUAAAGCGAGUGCAGGCGGCUCGAUAAGUCUGAUGUGAAAGCCUUCGGCUCAACCGGAGAAUUGCAUCAGAAACUGUCGAGCUUGAGUACAGAAGAGGAGAGUGGAACUCCAUGUGUAGCGGUGAAAUGCGUAGAUAUAUGGAAGAACACCGGUGGCGAAGGCGGCUCUCUGGUCUGUUACUGACGCUGAGGCUCGAAAGCAUGGGUAGCGAACAGGAUUAGAUACCCUGGUAGUCCAUGCCGUANACGAUGAGUGCUAAGUGUUGGGAGGUUUCCGCCUCUCAGUGCUGCAGCUAACGCAUUAAGCACUC